AAGGCAUAUUAUUCUAUAUGUUAAUAUAAACAUGUUAUUUUUCCAUCUGUGUAUCAAAGAACUAUUGAGCUGUAAACUGUGUCUUGCACAUGAUAUUAUGUUGAGCAAGUUAUGUUGCCAAUAACGGAUAUGAGAUAUUUUGCCAAUGUAGGUUAGAAGAAAUUGGAGCACUUCAGAAGACAUUGUUGACUAAUAAUCAACAGCUCAGGCGUAUCUUCACAAGCCCUUGGUUGCAUGCAGGGCUUUUCCAUCUGAUCAUUAACCUGUCCUCAGUAAUCUUUGUGGGACUUCACUUAGAGCAAGAAUUCGGAUCAUGUAAGAAUAUUCUUGUAAUAUGUUCUUUCAUUGAGAAAGUUGUUAAUUGAAUCUUUGAUUGAAGCUCCUAGCUCUUGUGGGUUUGUUUUGGAGUUUUUGUGGGUUUAUUUUGGAGCUUUUUUGGAGCUUGUUGGCAAUGACAUUAAAAAUUUUCCCAAUAGAUUCUGAUACUACUCCACCGACUUGUGUAUAUAACUAGCGUUGCGAUACUGUAUUGGUUUGGUUUUAGUAUAUCUUUUAUCUCUUUAUGAUCUUUUAAAUAAAAGAAAUUGCAACAACUGAAUUUUAGUUGAGUGAAGAUUCUAUGUAGUUGUAACUGUGUUAGUGGAGUUAAGGAAAAUUCUUAUAAAGCAGAAUAGGACAGGAGAUUGAUUCAGUUCCUUAUGGGAUUGAAUGAGGUGUAUACUGCGAUUCGAGGAAGCAUUCUCAUGAUGAAUCCUUUGCAAUAACUUGCACAAGCAUUCUCAUUAUUAGUGCAGGACGAAAAACAACGAGAAAUCAAGCCUAACAAUCAGUUGUUCAUGGAGUCGACUUCUCUUAAUGUGCAUGGUUCAGGAGGAGCAAGUACCUCCAAACAACCUCGAUAGACUCAACAAAGUUAUCCUCCUUCAGCAGGCAUUUCUUCUUCAGCAGGAAAUAACAGUUUCAGAACCAAUUAUUCUCAGACCUCCAACACUUACAAUAACAAUCGGGGUCGUGUGGUGUGUGACUACUGCAACAAGAUAGGACACACCAUAAAUAAGUGCUAUAAACUCCAUGGAUACCCACAAACAAAUAAUCAGAAUUCUUACAAUAAUAACUAGAAUUUUCAGAAUGGAUAUCGCAACAAUUACAAUCAGAAUACCAGGUUUAACAAAGGCAAAGGACUCAUGGCUGAUGUGCAUGGUCCUUCAUUUGAUGUGAUGUCAAGUGGAGCUGAGGAACAAGGGGGUAGACAUGAUACACAUUCCAAAUUGACUAGGCAACAGUAUGAACAAUGCAUGAGUCUGUUGCAACAAUUUCAAGCUGAAAAUCAUGGAGAAUCUGUUAAAGGCAUGGACCUUAUGUGCGGCAACGUGAACCUUGCAGGUAUGAUAGUCUGUACUUCCUCUGUUGAUUUUGGAAUAUUAUCCUGCAGGUGUUUCAAAAACAAGUCUAACUCUUGGAAUUGUCCAAGCAAAAAACUCAUGAUGAAAGAGUACUUUUGUGGGUCUUGAAGGUUGGGUGUUUGUUAAUGAGGAAGGGAAUAAGCAACAGUAUAUCAAAGAUUGUACUUUUGGUGUGUAUUGAAGUUCAGGUUGAAAAAAACAUACUUUUAAUGGAUUUGAGGGAAUCAAAACGUUGUUAGUUGUGUGUUGGUGGGGAAAGUUAAGCUACAGUCAUCAAAGAUUGUUCUUUUGGUGUCUUUUUUGAGGUUUAGAUUGGAAAGAAACAUACUUCUUGUGAAAUCUUGUUAAUUCAAUUCUUGAUUGAAAUUAGAUACUUAUUAGAUUAUCACUAGACUUUCCAACCUUGAAAUUUUAUUGUUAAUUCAAUUCUUGAUUGAAGUUGGAGAAUUAUAAGAUUAGCAGUUCACUUUCCAACCUUGAAUUUUUUCUUGUUAAUUCGAUUAUUGAUUGAAGAUAGUGAAUUAUUAGCUUUGUAGUGUUAUUUUCAAAGUUGCAGCAUUGAAUCUAGAAAACUGAAAUACUUUCCAACCUCAAAAACAGUCAAUGUAGUUGAAGCGGUUUCCUUUUCCUUUGUCCAGAAGUUCUCAAUUUGUUUGAUUGUAUUUACAUGAUCAGAUAGAUGAUAUUCAGAACAAAUAUUGUCGGAAAAGGUAAACUUCUCGGGUAACUAUCUAAAUAUUGGGAGAACUUCUAUGUUUCAAUUCUUGAUUAAAAAAAAAAGAAGAAGAAAAUUCAAUUCUUGAUUAUCACUGUUAUUUUUAAGUGAUUGCUGCAUUGGAUCAGGAAAACUGAAACACUUUCUGACCAUGGAAUUGUUCUUGUUAUUCAAUUCGUGAUCGAAGUUAGAGGCACACUAUCCAACCUUAAAAAUUAGUUUUGUGUUUGUAAGUCCCCCAAAAUAGUUAAUGUUCUGAAGUUCUAAAUAUGUUUAUUUGUAUGUCAAUCUGGAGACUCUGACUUUUGUGUGUAUGUGCACUCUUUGAUCUUUGCUUCAUCGUCUUGAAACAACUAUUAUCACAGUAUGGAGCCAGACCAAGUUGUUGCUGGAUUGGUUGGAAUGGGAUUUUCGUUAUCUGAUAUUGCUAAUGCUCUAGAAGUAGUGGGUCCAUCAAUGAUAGUUUGAUUGAUUAUUGCUGCUGUCUUGCCUUAGUUUUCAAGAAAUUGUGGCUGCUGAGAACUUUAUGAAUUGUUUCGCAAUGAUUUUGGAAUUUCUAUCUUUUGUCAAGUUAAGGAUAAAAUAUUCAGCAGCAUCAAGACCUUAUAGGAUUCCACUAGGAAGUUACUUCAGUUCAGAUAAAAAAGAUAUGCAAAAUAGGACAUCUCAGCAUGCCAAGAACCUACUAUAUAUAGACAUAUAGGAAACCAAUCUGGCUCUCAAAUUAACAGAUGUGUAUUUGAUUACGUGCGCUCUUUCUAUCCUCAAUUGUACCAAGCCAUUGUCACCCACAUUUUACAAUUAAAAAUCAACAAGCAGAGACCCAAUUAAACUGGUGACCCUCUAAUGUAAAACCAAGAGGAUAGCUUCAUCUAUUUCUAAAUGAAACCAAAAUUAAGUGAACAAAAAAUGAUGGAGGAAGACUGAAAGGUAAUUUUUAUCUGGAGCUGCCCAACUCUGAAAAGCAGCCAAAAGGCAGAUGUAUGUAAAUAUAAUAGGAUGUAAAUAUCUAAAUAAUACAGCCAGAAAAACAAACUAAACAAUUGCCAACUAUAUUUACAAUAUCUAACGAUCUCUAUAUAUCUAUGUAUCUCCAUAUGUACA